CUCGCCCGACCUACUCGGUUCGGCCGUCAUCGGCAUGGAUCGAAAUCCUUGAGAUGUACAUUCUACAUGGAAUGAAGGAAAAAAACGUGUUAAAUUUGUCAACGUCGCUCCUCGCAGUCGCUAUCGAGAGUUGAGACUCGAAAAGUUAGAGGCUGGCCAGGUGCUCCAUACGUUAAGUUAGAAAGUGAUAUAAAAAUAAAAUGUAAUAAUUAUGCAGACGCAUUGAGUAUUGAUAAUAUUUUUAAUCGGAAACAGUGUGGUAUGCGAUUAACUGGAAAUUAAAUUAAACAUUUUUAUAUAACUGAUACAUCUUGUGAGGAAGGGUGAAGGAAAAAGAGACAGAUGAAGCAGAAAAACAAACUAAUUUUAUUGGAAAUUAAAACAAAAUUGUAAUUUUGACAGUUAAUGUUUUUUUAGAACAUUAGAACGUUAUAGCACAAGCAUCACGAAGGAGAAGCAGGAAACAUAAAAAGAAUCAUGGUCCGUCAUAUACACAGCAAAAUUUAAAUAAUUAUAUAUGUUUAGAGCUUUCAAAAUUAAAGAUAUAUGAUGUCA